rnacentral:rRNA from 1 species
CGUGUAGGCGGUUUGUCAAGUCGGGUGUGAAAGCCUGGGGCUCAGCCCCAGAAGUGCAUCCGAAACUAGCGAGCUAGAGCGCGAUAGAGGAGGGUGGAAUUCCUGGUGUAGCGGUGAAAUGCGUAGAUAUCAGGAGGAACACCGGCGGCGAAGGCGGCCCUCUGGAUCGUUGCUGACGCUGAGACGCGAAAGCGUGGGGAGCAAACAGGAUUAGAUACCCUGGUAGUCCACGCCUUAAACGAUGGGUACUAGGUGUUCGGGGUGUUGACCCCCUGAGUGCCGCAGUUAACGCAUUAAGUACCCCGCCUGGGGACUGCGGCCGCAAGGUUAA